CACGUAGUUAGCCGUGGCUUUCUGAUUAGGUACCGUCAAGAUGUGCACAGUUACUUACACAUUUGUUCUUCCCUAAUAACAGAGUUUUACGAGCCGAAACCCUUCAUCACUCACGCGGCGUUGCUCCGUCAGGCUUUCGCCCAUUGCGGAAGAUUCCCUACUGCUGCCUCCCGUAGGAGUCUGGACCGUGUCUCAGUCCCAGUGUGGCCGAUCACCCUCUCAGGUCGGCUACGUAUCGUCGCCUUGGUAAGCCGUUACCUUACCAACUAGCUAAUACGGCGCGGGUCCAUCUAUAAGUGAUAGCAAAACCAUCUUUCACUUUAGAACCAUGCGGUUCUAAAUGUUAUCCGGUAUUAGCUCCGGUUUCCCGAAGUUAUCCCAGUCUUAUAGGUAGGUUACCCACGUGUUACUCACCCGUCCGCCGCUAACUUCAAAGGAGCAAGCUCCUUAUCUGUUCGCUCGACUUGCAUGUAUUAGGCACGCCGCCAGCGUUCAUCCUGAGCCAGGAUCAAACUCU
rnacentral:rRNA from 1 species